GGCUGGUCCAAGUGCAGUGGUGUUUACAACUAAUUGAUCACAACCAGUUAUACAUUUCUUUGCUCCUUCUCCACUCCCACUGCUUCAUUUAACUAGCCUUAA
ensembl:Y_RNA Y_RNA Y RNA